rnacentral:rRNA from 1 species
GAUGAACGCUGGCGGCGUGCCUAAUACAUGCAAGUCGAGCGAACAGACGAGGAGCUUGCUCCUCUGACGUUAGCGGCGGACAGGUGAGUAACACGUGGAUAACCUACCUAUAAGACUGGGAUAACUUCGGGAAACCGGAGCUAAUACCGGAUAAUAUAUUGAACCGCAUGGUUCAAUAGUGAAAGACGGUUUUGCUGUCACUUAUAGAUGGAUCCGCGCCGCAUUAGCUAGUUGGUAAGGUAACGGCUUACCAAGGCAACGAUGCGUAGCCGACCUGCGAGGGUGAUCGGCCACACGGGAACUUGUGCACGGUCCACACUCCUACGGGAGGCAGCAGUAGCCAAUCUUCCGCAAUGGGCGAAAGCGUGACGGAGCACCGCCGCGUGAGUAAUGAAGGUCUUCGGAUCGUAAAACUCUGUUAUGAGGGAAGAACAAAUGUGUAAGUAACUAUGCACGUCUUGACGGUACCUAGUCAGAAAGCCACGGCUAACUACGUG